GUGGUGAAAUGGAGAAAUGCUCAUGAAAUGUAUGGCACAUGAGAUGAAAUGGUUAGUGAUCACAAAGCACAAAAUAAUAGGAAAUAAAACAAAAAGAAAUUGCAUAGGAAAAGCAAAAGAAAGUAAUAAAGUGGCAAAAGCCUAAAAAAUUUUGAUAUGAUACCUAAAGGUGCUUGUGACCCAUAAUUGUCAUUUCAUGGCAAUUUUGAAAGAGAUUUUGUGUCAAGCCAUGACAUGAAAUUAAUAGGGACACAUGCAAGCAAAGUACCACACCAAAUUCAUAGAGAAAUUUGACACUUUAUUUUUUAAGACUAAACUUGUUGCUUGCAAAACAAGAAAUUCAUAAAAUCAUGUUCAAAAACAGCAAACAAAAGCACAUUUCCAGGGGCAUAUUCAUCACCAUAUUAGGCAUCAUUCAUUCACAUCAUAAUAUCAAAAUGUCAAGAACAAAACAUAGCAAAAUGCAUACCAAAAGUGUAAAAACACAUGGAAUUAG
rnacentral:lncRNA from 1 species